rnacentral:rRNA from 1 species
GAUGAACGCCGGCGGCGUGCCUAAUACAUGCAAGUCGAGCGAACAGACGAGGAGCUUGCUCCUCUGACGUUAGCGGCGGACGGGUGAGUAACACGUGGAUAACCUACCUAUAAGACUGGGAUAACUUCGGGAAACCGGAGCUAAUACCGGAUAAUAUAUUGAACCGCAUGGUUCAAUAGUGAAAGACGGUUUUGCUGUCACUUAUAGAUGGAUCCGCGCCGCAUUAGCUAGUUGGUAAGGUAACGGCUUACCAAGGCAACGAUGCGUAGCCGACCUGAGAGGGUGAUGGGCCACACUGGAACUGAGACACGGUCCAGGCUCCUACGGGAGGCAGCAGUAGGGAAUCUUCCGCAAUGGGCGAAAGCCUGACGGAGCAGCGCCGCGUGAGUGAUGAAGGUCUUCGGAUCGUAAAACUCUGUUAUUAGGGAAGAACAAAUGUGUAAGUAACUAUGCACGUCUUGACGGUACCUAAUCAGAAAGCCACGGCUAACUACGUG